rnacentral:rRNA from 1 species
GAUUGACCUCGGAUCAGGUAGGGAUACCCGCUGAACUUAAGCAUAUCAAUAAGCGGAGGAAAAGAAACCAACAGGGAUUGCCUCAGUAACGGGAUGAGG